rnacentral:tRNA from 1 species
CUUAGCUCAGUAGGUAGAGCAACUGACUUGUAAUCAGUAGGUCACCAGUUCGAUUCCGGUAG